rnacentral:misc_RNA from 1 species
ACCCUUACAUAUCUUCUUCAACAUGGCCAAUGAAAGAGAUUAUUUGUCCACAGAGAUUGUCAGCCGUGGGAUAGAGUCCUCCGGCCCCAAUGCUGGAUCUCUCACAUUCUCUGUCAGGGUAAGGAGAAGGUUGCCGGACUUUCUCCAAUCGGUAAACCUCAAGUACGUUAAGUUGGGCUACCAUUACCUUAUCAACCAUGCCAUAUACUUGGCCACCAUACCAGUUUUGGUGCUGGUUUUUAGUGCUGAGGUCGGGAGUCUUAGUAGGGAAGAGCUCUGGAGGAAGCUAUGGGAAGAUGCUCGUUAUGAUAUUGUUACUGUUCUUUCUUUCUUCGCUGUUUUCGUCUUUACUGUUUCUGCUUACUUCACGUCUCGCCCAAGGUCUAUUUAUCUCCUGGAUUUUGCAUGUUAUCGCCCUCAUGAUGAUCUCAAGGUGAGCAACGAUGAGUUCAUCGAGCUGGCAAGAAAGACAGGAAAGUAUGAUGAGGCAAGCCUGGAAUUCCAGACGAAAAUUUUACAAUCAUCAGGACUAGGAGACGAAACCUACAUCCCUAAAGCAGUCAUGCGGCAAGAGAAUUGUGCAACCAUGAAGGAAGGUCGUUUGGAGGCCUCAACAGUAAUCUUUGGGGCACUUGAUGAGCUUUUUGAGAAGACCAGAGUCCGUCCAAAGGACGUUGGGGUCCUAGUAGUGAACUGCAGCAUCUUUAACCCAACCCCAUCUCUUUCUGCCAUGGUCAUAAAUCACUACAAGAUGAGAGGUAACAUCCUCAGCUAUAAUCUUGGUGGCAUGGGCUGCAGUGCUGGGAUUAUAGCUGUGGACCUGGCCCGUGACAUGUUGCAGGCCAAUCCCAACAAUUAUGCUGUAGUGGUUAGCACUGAGAUGGUGGGCUAUAACUGGUACCCGGGCCAGGACCGGUCCAUGAUUAUGCCCAAUUGCUUUUUUAGGAUGGGCUGCUCCGCUGUCCUACUGUCCAACCGGCGGCUAGACUAUCCGCGUGCCAAGUACCGGCUUGAACACAUCGUGAGGACCCAUAAAGGAGCUGAUGAUCGCAGUUUCAGGUUUGCUAGUUUCGUGCUAAUUAUCUCCAUUUUGAAGUAGAUUUCUGAUCUGAUUUGAUGUUGUAGUUCGAACCCAUUAAUAAAACUGAUGAAAUUAGUAGGAAAAUUAUGAAUUUGUGAUCUCUAAUUAAUGGUUGCUUAGUGUAGGUAGAUAUGAUUUGAGUAAAUGUUACUUUCAUGAGGUCCACAGACAAGUGAGUGGAUAUUUCGUUGGCUUUUCUGCUUAAUAGCCAUUAGCCAUCACUUGGGGACCAUUUGAAUUUUCCAAUAAUUUCAUUUCUAUCGUGGACUAACUUCAAUUUCCAUGUAGAAAUUAGAAGGAACCAAAUCAUAAUUUUAGUGAUGCUAAUUAUCUUUUAAUUAAUUCUAAAUCAAAUUUGUUGGUGGAUGUUAUUCAAUGAUUAGGUGCGUUUACCAGGAAGAGGAUGACCAAAAAUUCAAGGGAUUGAAAGUAAGCAAACAACUCAUGGAAAUAGGAGGAGAUGCACUGAAAACUAACAUCACCACGCUAGGACCUCUAGUCCUUCCCUUCUCAGAGCAGAUUCUCUUCUUUGGGACCCUGGUUUGGAGGCACUUAUUUGGCAAGAAAAAUGGAUCUUUACCAUCACUACCACCCAAGCCCUACAUCCCUGACUACAAGCUAGCAUUUGAGCACUUCUGUGUCCAUGCAGCCAGCAAAAUCGUGCUUGAUGAGAUACAGAGAAAUCUUGGACUGAGUGACAAGAACAUAGAGGCAUCAAGAAUGGCACUGCACAGGUUUGGGAACACUUCUAGCAGCAGCAUAUGGUACGAGCUGGCUUAUUUGGAAGCUAAGGAAAGAGUGAAGAGAGGAGACAGGGUUUGGCAACUUGCUUUUGGUUCUGGUUUCAAGUGCAACAGCCUGGUUUGGAAGUCCAUGAGACGAGUGAAAAAGCCUUCCAGGAAUCCGUGGCUUGACUGCAUUGACAGAUAUCCUGUGACUUCAUUUACAGGUUAGGAAUCCAUGGAUUUUCGUUUUCUUUUUCCUUUUUCUCCUUAAUAUUCCAAAGUUGAUGAAUUAAAGUUAAUACAUUUGAAUUAAAGUUAAUACAUUUGGAGGUAAUUAAUUCCAGAUAAAUAUUAUAUUCAGAAUUUCUCUUCAGAAAGAUAAAGAUAUUUAUAUUUGUGUCUUUGAAGGAAAUGGGUGAUUAGAUCAGGUGUCACCAGGAAUUAUGUUCACUAUACAUACUCAGGCUGCUUAGAGAAUGGGUGUUUCUGAAUUCUGAUUGAAUGUUGGUGUUGCUGCUGGUGAAUCUAGGUUUGUGUAAAAGUUCCUGUCUUUAUCUUAAUGUGAGAGAAGGAAAAAUAUUGAAUGUCAAGUUCCUGUAAUAUUCAACAUACUUCUAAAAUUGAAUUUAUUGGUUUGGUGGGAUUGAUAGAUUCAAUGGUUUGACCAAUAAAACCCAGUUAGGUAUAUAGUUUAAAAAGAACAAAACAAGUAAUAAAUUACUAAUAAAUUUAGUUCAGUGGUAAUCGAAUUAUAGUGAGAGCCCAUUAUAAUAAAAAAAGGUAAAUAAAAAAUAGAUUAAUAGUUUAAGAUUAAAAAAAAAAACUAAAUAAUAAAACUAAACCAAAUAAUAUGGAAUUACUUAACCAACUGAUUAAAAUAAAAUGAAUAAUCAUGCAAAAAAUGCAAGAUACAAGCUGUUGUUGCUGCCAGCAAGCUAAUAUACACAAACCUCUACCAGUUGUUGCCAUAUUAUAAGAAACAGAUAUUAAUCACACCCCAUAAUCUCCUCAUGAUCUUAUCGUUUUUCACACUCUUAGCAUGCAAUUAAAGAUGUGAUCUAUAUAAGAAUGAAAGAGAUCCGGCACACAAGAAAGUUUGCAAGAAAAACACCUACACUCUGAAGAGAUUGCCAACUGCAUGCGAGGUGGGUUUGACGGAUUGCCUAAGUGAUAUUUGGAGCCUUCUUAACAGAGUGAGGCAUUUGAAGGCAAAUUUCAUUCGUCAGGAUGAUGCCGAUCAAUUAGUUGAAGGGCUUGGCCUAGGGUUUUCGCCAGGUCCUAGCUCCAAAGGAUCGUAUUGAUAUUGUAAUAGUGGCGAAUGGUGAUGCCGUUGGAAAUUGAUAGUUACAGCACUUUUGAUAAGUGAUGUGGGAAAUCUAAUUCUAAUUUCUAUUUCUUGCCUGGAACUUGAUGAAUAGGUAGUGCUGCUGCUACAAGGUUGGAGAAAUUUUUACGUAAAUUUAGAAUUUAAAUUCAAAACCUCACAAUUUUAAAAAUAACUUCAAUACCAUUAAAUUAAAAGUUUUUUUUUUUCUUAUAGUUAAAAAAAUAGACAUUUAUGUAUCAAUUAUUUCUCUUAAUUAAUGAAGGAAAUACUAUUUUUUGUUCAAA